GACGAACGCUGGCGGCGUGCUUAACACAUGCAAGUCGAACGGCAAGGCCCUGCUUUUGUGGGGUGCUCGAGUGGCGAACGGGUGCGUAACACGUGAGUAACCUGCCCUUGACUUUGGGAUGACUUCAGGAAACUGGGGCUACUACCGGAUAGGAGCUCCUGCUGCAUGGUGGGGGUUGGAACGUUUCGGCGGUUGGGGAUGGACUCGCGGCUUAUCAGCUUGUUGGUGGGGUAGUGGCUUACCAAGGCUUUGACGGGUAGCCGGCCUGAGAGGGUGACCGGCCACAUUGGGACUGAGAUACGGCCCAGACUCCUACGGGAGGCAGCAGUGGGGAAUAUUGCACAAUGGGCGGAAGCCUGAUGCAGCAACGCCGCGUGCGGGAUGACGGCCUUCGGGUUGUAAACCGCUUUCGCCUGUGACGAAGCGUGAGUGACGGUAAUGGGUAAAGAAGCACCGGCUAACUACGUG
rnacentral:rRNA from 1 species